UACGGGGGGGGCAAGCGUUGUUCGGAAUUACUGGGCGUAAAGGGCUCGUAGGUGGCCAACUAAGUCAGACGUGAAAUCCCUCGGCUUAACCGGGGAACUGCGCAUGAUACUGGAUGGCUUGAGUUUGGGAGAGGGAUGCGGAAUUCCAGGUGUAGCGGUGAAAUGCGUGGAUAUCUGGAGGAACACCGGUGGCGAAGGCGGCAUCCUGGACCAACACUGACACUGAGGAGCGAAAGCCAGGGGAGCAAACGGG
rnacentral:rRNA from 1 species